rnacentral:lncRNA from 1 species
AUUAAAGCACAGAAAAGUCAUUUAGGGCGUAAUAUUGGCACACAACAAAGGACAAGGAAAGUUGCUAAAACAAGCUCUUAUUUAUCGACAAAGAUAAGGUAAACCAAAAAUGAACAGAAGAUAGUGAGCAAUGACAAUG